rnacentral:misc_RNA from 1 species
AUUCACUUCUCAAUUGGCAAUAUGUUCAUAUGCGAGUUAUUAGCCACUACAACACAUACGCGGUAAAACAAAUGAAUUGAGCUAAACUAAGGUUCUUCUAGUUAAUUGCUGUGUUUACUACUUAAGUUCAGUAGCAGCGGUAAGAGACUAAUGAAAGAGAUAACAACACAACCUGUAAAUUAUUGAAAUGAGAUUUGGAAUUAAUCCCUAGUAUAGUAGUGUUUUAUUAUGGCAAUAACCAAAACAACUUGGUAGAUCAUUGAUCUCCCUAACUAAAAAGAAAUUCUAAGUGCAUUUCCUGUAUAAAUUUCAGGACGAUGCAUGUGUGGAAGUAUCUCUUGCUGUGGCUUGAUUUUACAGUGGGGUCAAGUUCCGACCUUAGCAACCUUUCUACGCUCAAUUUGGCCAGUCAAUGAGCAUUGCAUCUCUGUCCAGCUUAUGGGAACCAUUGUUGCACCUACACCAAACUCAGACAAAUUGAUGUGUUAUGCAAAGCAGGUCACAUGCUUCAGAAUGCGUUAAGCAAUCAAAUGCAAGCAAAUUUCAAUUUCAUAUCAAGAUUUGCUCAGAAAGGGGAACAAAGAAAAUAUAGUAAGCUUCACAAUUUCUUGAGUAUCAGCUUCAAUAUCCCUUCAGCACUAGGGGAUGUUGCAACAGCAUCAACCAAACUCAAAAGCAAAACACUAUCUUUUGAAAUCUUUAAACAUUGUAUUAUCUAUUCUUUUGAAAUGGAAAAGAAAUACAAACAUAUACCUCUAUAGAAUUAAAGCAAUUCUAAAGUUGCAAGUAAUCAGACUUGGACUUUCAAAUAAUAGAACACAAUAUUACUAAGUUGAUUAGGAAUACCACAAUAAAAAUCAUAUAUUAUGAGACAAUAAAACCCAAUUUUUGACAUUUGUCUUUGACUUUUUCCAGCAAAUAUAAGAACAUAAAUAGUUGUGACUUGUAAAACAAGUAAAAACACACACGCACACACACUGAUCUUUUUGUAGGCUGAAUUCAUUCAAUAACCUAAAAUGGAACAAACAUUUACCUGCUGUGCUCUCUGCAGAUACAACACCUAACUCAUUCUUGGCAGUAGAAAGGUGAUAAGCCCGUGCAUCUCCAAGGGACAGCACUAGAGCUCUGACAAUGUCACCAGGGUGAAAUGAUAAGUGCAUAUCCACUUUGCCAAUCUCAGUAGCUCUUACAUCUUGUUGCUUGUUAAAAUAAAAAGUUUGAGAUCACAUACAACUAAGCUCCCAAAAUAACGCAUCCUAUUGUAAUUCUAAUGAAAAGGAGGAUUAGUGCAAAUGCAAGACGGAAUAAUACAAUUAUUCUAUUGUGUUAAUGGUAUGAAGAUUACUAGGAGUCCUAUACAAACUACAGUUUUUAUUUCCACAAGGCAUCAACUCAACAUGAUAUGUUUUACUUAACAGAUGAAACUGAACUACAUACCUUAUUAUGCCAGUAAACUUUUCUCACACAGACUUGGGACCAAGACACAUAAUGUCAGCUGAAGCCAUUUUAGCCAUCACUUUAGUAACUCGGGCAAUGACAACAUAACCAGGCUCUGGAACAGCACCCUGAGCCUUGUGUCCAAUUACUUCCACAAUUGCUCUCUGGUCGGGAGAGUCCGGGGGAGGUGAUAGAGUGCGGUGGAGACCAGUGAGGGAGGAGUAGACGUAGAGGAUUUCAGUGUUACGAUAGGGUGCCACGUACGCACCUUUCCCUGGUUUCACUUCAGCUGCUUUCCCUAACACCACUCCUGGUGUCACCAUCUCCGGUUCUUCUUGCAUUAUCCCUAGCUCUGUCUGCUGCUCUUCUUCCUCGUAUGUGCUAAGCGAAUGAAUCGCCUCAAAU